GAUGAACGCUAGCGGCAGGCCUAACACAUGCAAGUCGAACGGCAGCACAGGAGAGCUUGCUCUCUGGGUGGCGAGUGGCGGACGGGUGAGGAAUACAUCGGAAUCUACCUUUUCGUGGGGGAUAACGUAGGGAAACUUACGCUAAUACCGCAUACGACCUUAGGGUGAAAGCGGAGGACCUUCGGGCUUCGCGCGGAUAGAUGAGCCGAUGUCGGAUUAGCUAGUUGGCGGGGUAAAGGCCCACCAAGGCGUCGAUCCGUAGCUGGUCUGAGAGGAUGAUCAGCCAGACUGGAACUGAGACACGGUCCAGACUCCUACGGGAGGCAGCAGUGGGGAAUAUUGGACAAUGGGCGCAAGCCUGAUCCAGCCAUGCCGCGUGGGUGAAGAAGGCCUUCGGGUUGUAAAGCCCUUUUGUUGGGAAAGAAAAGCAGUCGGUUAAUACCCGAUUGUUCUGACGGUACCCAAAGAAUAAGCACCGGCUAACUUCGUGCCAGCCGCCGCCGUAAUAC
rnacentral:rRNA from 1 species